AUUUGCUUAUGCCAUGAUUUUCACCAGGUAUUUUUUUUAUAUUAAGUCAUUAUUGUGAAUACUAACAAUUUACUUAUGCCAAGAAUUUCAGCAGGUAUUUUUUUAAUUUUAGUUAUUAUUGUGAGUACCAACAAUUUGCUUAUGCCAAGAGUUUCACCUGUUAUUAUUGUGAGUACCAACAAUUUGCUUAUGCCAAGAAUUUCAUCAGUUAUCAUUGUGAAUACCAACAAUUUGAUUAUGCUAAGAGUUUCACCAGUUAUUAUUGUGUUAUUACCGAAAUAAGUCAGAUAGUGCAAGGAUUGAUUCUGUAUGCCAUUUGGGACACUUUGGGACAAAGACAGUGACGAUGCAGAUGACAACGAUGAUGUCUAGAUUAUUGUACAGCAGUUUUGA